rnacentral:lncRNA from 1 species
ACCGGACCCAGAGAAACCCCCUCAAGACCUGAGACUGGCCCUAACGAGCCACCAGCAGUCACCCCUGAGGUGCCUAAGGAAGAAGAUGCCCGGAGGGCCCUAGUGGAUUCCGUGUUUCAGGUGUCCGUGCUGCCGGGCAAUGUGGGCUACCUGCGCUUUGACAGAUUUGCAGAUGCCUCUGUGCUGAAGACACUGGGCCCUUAUGUGCUGCGGCAGGUGUGGGAGCCCCUGCAGGACACAGAGCACCUCAUCAUGGACCUGCGUCACAACCCUGGGGGUCCGUCCUCUGCCGUGCCUCUGGUUCUGUCCUACUUUCAGGGUCCGGAGGCUGGGCCCGUACGGCUCUUCACCACCUAUGACCGUCGCACCAACAUCACCC